UGAGUGGAGGAUUUGAAUGUCCUCAUUGAAUAUCCUCGAAGAUCAUGCCUGACCUUUUUGAGUGGGUGAGUGGUGUCACCUCAUGGUACAUGAGGGUCCCAUCUAUUAAUUGCAUAGGCUGUCAAUCAGGAGUUGAGAGUGUGAAGAGAUUUUAGCCUUCAUAUGCUCCCAUGUGGGGGUAUUUAUUAUUCUUGACCUUUUCUGCAUAGUGUGGAUGCUUGCCAUGGCAUGA
rnacentral:lncRNA from 1 species